GCAGACGCAACGGUUUGCGCGGCAUUAGUGACGAAAAACUCGUACGUUGUGCAGAAAAUUUUCAAUUAUUUCCCCGGAGUGCAAUUGGAUUAUGCGAAAAUGAAUUCAAAAUUAUUUGCUAUUUGUGUACUAUUGGUGUUGGUGUCCGUCAUCUCACUAUCUCAGGGCAAUGCGGUCAACACACAAUUCGAUCAAAUCGAUAAUGUUGUGAGUGGACAAUCUGAAAGUCUUGUUCGUCAAAGACGGGACGUUUUGUGUGACGAGGCAAAGUGUGCGUUGGAAUGCAUUUCGAAGGGAAACUUACUCGGAGGAAGCUGUACCCUUUGGUUCUUCUGUUCAUGUAAAUAAUUAGUUCUUUUUUGUAAUUUUCGGUGAAAAAUUUCUAUUUUUGUCAAUUAUGAAGCAAUUAAUGUAAAUAAAGAAAAACGAAAACGUA